rnacentral:rRNA from 1 species
UACGUAGGGGGCAAGCGUUGUCCGGAAUCACUGGGCGUAAAGCGCACGUAGGCGGACUCUUAAGUCAGGGGUGAAAUCCUGGAGCUCAACUCCAGAACUGCCUUUGAUACUGGGAGUCUUGAGUUCGGGAGAGGUGAGUGGAACUGCGAGUGUAGAGGUGAAAUUCGUAGAUAUUCGCAAGAACACCAGUGGCGAAGGCGGCUCACUGGCCCGAGUACUGACGCUGAGGUGCGAAAGCGUGGGGAG